ACAACCUUAGUGCGCGCGUUACUGUGAGCCCUUCCAGCCGGCAUAAAAACCAGAAUCAGAGAGAAAAAGUGCCUUAACAGAUCUGAAGACGGGUUGGUGGCGGGGGGAGGAAGCCCCUUUUCAUCACGGUGACACUGCUUUUCACCUCCGCUGGUGACUGGUGCUCCUGGUGCACGCCGGGAUCCCAGACAUCGCAGAAUGCCACGGGGCCCCGUGUGCCCUGGCAACUACCUCGGCUUUUUACUGCCUCCUCCCAAAACAUCCUCGUGAACGUGCAGACACACCUCCUCCAGUUUCGACCCCGAGCCCCCAUCCACAGCCGCUCUGGCCACACAGCAGCUCAGACAGAGCUCUGAUGGAGACGGACUGGAAGAGAGGGGAAGAGUUCCUUGAUGUUGGAAAUAAAUCUGACAGGCCCCACCGGAUGAGGCCGAGCCUAAUCUUUUUUCACUGACUGAAGGGUGUGUGCAUGUAGAGGAGUUUGUCUAUUUUAUUUUAUUUCAUUUUUUUUUCACCCAACAUCACUUUCUUUAUUUUCAACACCCCCUCUUCAUCUCAGCCUUUCUUUUCUGUGGCAGUGCAGAUAAUGCCAUAAUUUACAGCCAUGCAUUGCAGAAGAUGAAUGAUAGUUGCUUUUCUUGCUUGGGAUGCAUUCACCUUUACCAGAUAAUAGCCCUUUUGAGAGAAUAAGAAAAGGAAAUGUCUUAUUUUUAUAUUACGUUUUCAUUCUAACGCUCGAGAAGAGAAAUGUCAUUUUCAAUCUUUCAUUUAAAAACAAAGUUGAUGGUUAUGAGUGCGCUUCGUUUUGCCUUUGAUAUUCCUUGUUCAUAUUCUUCAGUGAAAUAAUACAAAGGUAAAAAGGUUUUUUUUAAUGUUAUUCAAUCAUUUAAAGUCUCUGUUGCAUAUAAGAGUCUGCCUAAAAAGGGUAAUUUUGCACACACACACGCAAAUGUGGAAUGCUUAGCAAAAGAAUUGAUACUUAUGGUACUUUCUUUAAUAUUUCUCACAUCACAACUACAAACUUUAAUAGAAAGUUUGUAGUUAAUUUAGAUUUUUUUUGUGUGUGUGUGUGACAGACCAACACAAAGUGGUGGAUAAUUAUGGAGUGGAAAUAAGAUAAUAUAUAUGUUUAAAGCUUUUUAGAAAAAAAAAAAGAAAAGAAAAAAGAAAACUCUCUGAAGUCAGCUAAAAAGACUGUCAGUAUGAAGCCCUCAGAGGUUUGUUAGAGAACAUUAGUGAUCAAACAGCAGCAUGAAGACAAACAGGUCAAGCUGUGGAGACGUUAAAUCCUUUGUAUGAAAAUGGAAAGAAUAUGGCACAAGUGCAAGCCUAUGCAUAGCUGCCCACCUAAGCUGAAAGUGUUUCCAGGGGGGCAUAAAGCACUGAAAUUCAUAAAGCAGAAAGAUUUGCCCUCUGCAGUUUUUCAUAAGUCACAUAACAAAAAAAGAGUAAAAACGUAACAGAAGAAGCUCUAGUCAAAUGAAACCAAAAUUUAACAUUUUGGUCUACCUGCAAAACACUAAGUGUGGUAGAAAGCUCAUGCCCUAAAAACUCUGUGAAACAUAGUGGCAUCAGCAUUAUGCUGUUUUUCAGCGAGAACCAGGAAGCUGACCGGAGUUGAUGGGAAAAUGGAUGAAGCUAAACACAGGUCAGUGUUGCCAGAGGCUGCAAGAGACUCCAGACAUUAGUGGAUGAUCACCUUCAAGCAGAACUCAAGCUAAGGAUAAAAUCGAAUGGUUUUGCUCAAAGCAUGUCCAUGAGUUAAUAUGGCUGAACCACAUCAAAAAAAGAUGUUUUACAGACCCUGCUCAGUUUAAAUUAACUUUUGCUGUUUUUAAAAAAAUGUGCAAAAAUUCCAGUUCAUAAAUCUGCAAAACUGGACAAUAUUACCUGGAAGUCAAAUUUACCUGACAUUUUUCCUUUCCCACAUUAUUUUGUGUUAUUUUAUCACCACCACAAAAUAUGUUUAGGUUUGUGAGUGUAACAUCAAAAAAAUGUGAAAAACCUUAAGAGUCAUGAAGGAUUUGGCAGCGAUUUUAAUUUACCAAAAAGCUUCCAAACUUUAAAUAUAAAGAACAUUAAUCUGCCCUCGAUGUAUCUGUCCCCCUCAAAAAUUUACACUCUCAUGUCUUUCCAGCAGACAAUGCUGCAGGAGGGAACGGACAAUCAACAUGUGUCUGCAGCGCGACAGGCUUGUUUCUGAGUGUCCAGGGUCAGCCUCACAAGGGACCACUCCAAAGGACUGCAGUGACCUGCCAACACUUCUCCCCUGACAUGUUGCAGCGAGAGGUCAAAGACAAGAUCUGAGGCGGAGGCGGAUCAAUGUGUAACCUUCUCACAUAUAAAUCAGGGUUAGGGCAACUGACCCGCUCAUAUUUUUUCUAAUGUUCUGAAGACAUUUUAUUUUUCAAGGAAAUGCGAUGAAUCACUUUGAAGAAACCAGAAUUAUUUAAGUUACGUUAAUGAAGCAGUUUGUUUCUUGUGAGGCAAGACCAAAGGUAUGAACAGAGGAAAACAAAUGUUCUAAAUUUGUUUUUCCUAAUACAACAGUGAAAAUUUGCUUCACCAAGCUUGAAGCACGUAGAGAAGUGGGGGGGAAAAAAGCAGUUGUUAGUUCCACAUUUUUCUUAAAGUGUAAGGGCAAAACAAUAUGAUUUUUUUAAAUAAUAUUUAUUAUUGAUAUUAAAAUGUCAUUGGAGAUAGGCUACCUAAAAAGGGAAGCCCCCCAAAAAGGCAACUCUAUGUGCACAAUGCGGCACCUUUGUUCUAGUUCAAGUCCCGCAUUCACUAAAGUGGGAUAAAUCCUCCUAAUGAACGGUCAUCCAGAGUGCUGCAUAAACGACAACAUCACACGGUGUUCCAUAUCAAAGAUCCCAUCUACUCUCAUCCUUCCACUGGCUCAAUCCGAGGCCUUUUCUCUGGACACAUUAUUACUGUCAUCAUUUUAACAUGAAAGGCAGAAAACAAGUGCUGCACCACUACCAAGGAGACACCUUGAUCCCAGAGCAUUUGCAUUCGCCACCUUGUUCCGCCUGAUGUAUGAACGAGUUAGCGCUGGGCUCUGUGAUUGGCCGGCGCUGAAAAGCAGGAGCAGGCACUCUGCUAAUGCUGCAUAUGUUGUUCCCCCUUCCCCACCCUCCUUCCACACUGUGUCACACCCAGGCGGUGGCACUAGAGGGCAGUCCACCCUGUUGCUUUUUGUUGUGGAGGAGGCAGACACUCUUGGACUCACACUGAGGGAAUGAUCUUCUAAAAUAUUUUGUAAAUUUUUUUUUUAAUUCCAUGGAAAAUUAGUUAGGAAUUUUUGGAAAUCACAGGUUUGACAAUUACUUCUGGGCUGUGCGGUUUAUCCUCAGUUGAGAACUGAAAAGGAAAACUCAUCAAUUUGUUUCCGUCAAUUGGAAAACUGUUAGUUUAUGCAAUGUAUGUUCACGUUGCAUAAACUAACAGAGGUGGGCAACAAGUAUGCUUUCCAAAGGCUUUUAAAGAAAGCCUUUUAUUUUUAAGAGACAGGAUUAAUGCUCUCUCUCACACACACAGCUGGGCUGUUGCUCUCUGUCUGUGGUGCAGUCAUUCAGGAGGCUGCUGCUAAUUAAAGACACACAACAAUGAAGCGUGGAAACCCCAAAGCAACAGUGUUAAUCAGAGAAAAAAAAAAAAAAAAACAGUGCAAGAGCAGUACUGAUUACAACGAGGGCAGCCAGCCAUUUCAGCAGAUCUCAGAUUUGAUCUAAGUGGCGAUUUUAAUAUAGUUUAUAAGGACUUCUUGCGCACUUCUUUCCCCGUCGGCCAGAAGCCAGUUCACUCCGAGACAAAUCCAAAAAGCUUUAUUACUGGGUGAGUGUAAAUAGGUUCUGACAUUAGUUGGGAAAGAAGCAUUUGCUUCGACAUAUUUGUUGAUAUGAAAUCACCAUCAAACACUCUAUUGUUUCAGAUCAUUGUAAAAAAAAAAAUAUUCUCCUGUUGAUUUUGCAUCAUAACCUUUGUUGCUCCCUACCAUUCAAACACAAAACAAAGACAAUUUAUUACUGUUUUAUAUACAACAUUGAAACGCUUUUUAAAAACAUAUAGUCAUGACAUUUAUUUUCAAGUUUGUAUAUGAAGCACUUGUCAUUUUAUAUCAACACUGCUCUAAUUCUUUCUGCCUGUUGCCUACAGUUGACUUUACUACUUUCAUUAACAUCUCCAGCACCUCUACUUGUGUAAAAAUACUUCAACUUCUAUUAACAUUUUUAAAUACAUUUAACAGUUGACUAUAAUUAUUUUUGAUUUCUUUUAGCAACCUGUGACAGAGUUCUGCCCUAUUUCUCUGCAUGUUUUUUUUUUUUCUCAGACAUUUGUGAAUGUGACAAAUAAAAAUGUUAAACCUUCUAUACUUUACCAUUAAAUGAAAUGUUUACUGUGGAUUUUUUUUUACUUGUGUUUGACAUUCAUUAUUUAACAUGAAUCUGUUCUAAAUGUGCUUUUUUUUGUUACUCAGAGAAAGUGUGAAUAAUUUGAAAAUGGUUUGACCUUCUAAUCCAAACUUCAUCAUGAUAAAUAUUUUUCUAUGCCCAUUAAAAAUGUGGACUUGUGGAAUUUUGAUGCAACUUAGGAUUCGCAUUUGUUCUAAAACAGCAAGUUUAAAAUAAUAAUAAUAAUAAUAAAACUACUUAAUUUGACACUGUAAACACACUUCAGUGUUUUGCACCACCUUUGGAUCUGCUGUGAUGGUUUAGAACAGAAUAUGACUGGAUGUUUUAUAUAUAGGAUAAUUGCUAUGAUCGCAGUCAUUCUGUAAUUGGUGUGCUAUUAUAUAUAUAUAUAAAAAAAAAGCUUUUUCUAAAAAUCUUUUCACUUGCUUUCAACUGAAGGUAUCAAUGAAGAGAGAAAAACACCUAAAACUAGGAUACAGGAGGUCAAGCAAUGUAAAGUGCUCUCCUUUCGGCCAUUCAAGGGAGAAGGUCAGGUCAAUCAUGUAAGUAUGGCAGCCGCUUCUCACAAUCAACAUCGGGAUGGGUUAGCCCUUCUGCUAGACAGAAAGCCUGCUUUUGUAGCGUGGACCCCUUCAGAAGCUUCUCGGUUCUUCGGCUGUGUUGUGGCGACGGAGGGGUGGGGGGUCUCUGCUCUACGAAGAGGGGCCCUCUGUGAAAAGGCCCCACUCAAGAGGAAUAAAGGAGCCUCUCCAGUGGUUUGUUUUGGAGGCUGUCUUAUUGAUCUGUCUACCUAUGAAUGAAUGCAUUGGCCCAGUUUUCCCGCUCACGGCCACAAUGGCACUCGGCCUGUAUUAACUGCCCCGAUGUUAUUCCCAGAGAAUGGCGCACAUUGAGAGGAGUUUUGGGAACGUUUGUCGUUUCAUCCCUGAAUCCACAAACCUUUCCCCGGAGAAUGGAGACGGUUAACAAGGAGAAGUAAAUCAAUGACUGCUGACUGCCAAAAAUCAAUAUUAUAGAUUGAACAAGAAUGUGGAACAGUUCAUACAUACAAAGACGCUGAACCACAACAGCCACUUCAUUUUCCUAACUGAACAUUAUCUUGUUUAGAACCUUGGAGUUCUGUACUAAAACUGGACUUUUAAGUGUCAUUAUAUUAUCCUCAACUAGGAGUAAAAAUCUUUUCAGAAUUUAGUUUUUUUCUUGCUCCUCUUUCCUUGUUGCUCACAAGCAUCAAGGAAAGUUGCUUGUGAGCAAGAUGUGCCUUCAAAUAGAUAGUUUUUUUGAAACAGUUAAUAAUCCAAAGAAACUAAACAUUGGAGAUUUUUCCUGUUUUUACCAUCUUCUUUUUGGCAUAAUAAUCUCAGGUUUCUGUCCAUCCUUGUUUGUUAGCACCAGGUCUUUUAAACUAUUAAUUAUUGCUCUAGAACGAAUGUAAGCGAGUAGUCAUUCCCUUGGAGAUGUUUAAUAACUUAGAAAGAUCAAAACCAAUUUGCCUUAUUUGUAAAGCAUGUUCUCUUGUCUUUCCCAGUUUGAUAAGUAGCAAUGUGGCAAGGAUUUCUGAGUCUCUUUGCAUUUUUAUGCUAUAGGAAAAAGGAAAGGCAUUCCAAGGCACUUCAAUACACCAACAGUGCUGGGGACAUUAAUUGGCUCCUCUACCAAGUAAUCUUAACAUAAUGCCUACUUUUUCUUUUUGCAGUAGGAGAAUCUUAUGCACAGACUAUCUUGUUCCCAAGCACAGUGAGGAGGAUAGCCAACUCCCCAAGAAUAGAAAGUUUGAACAAAGAAUCACAUUUUGGGUCUUAAAUCUUCAUAAAAACUGUAUAUAAAAACUGUUACGAAUAAUGUAAAAAACCUAUCACAACUGUAAAUGGAACAUUUUCUUUGACUGGAAUUGUGUGCAGUCAAAUCAAAAUUUGUACAAACUUAUUCCAGUGGACCCCUAGUGUUUGUCUGGAGUUGAAACCCACAGAAAAAAAAAAAAAUCAGCGAAUACUGAACAGAAGUCCACUGUAAUAUAGAUGUGAUGGCAUUAACAUAUGUGUUAGUGUGUCACUUCCUUACCAAAGAUGUUAGUGACAUGUCACUUGUGCGUCUUCAAAUAUUUAAUUAAUAAAUUAAACAAAUGUUAAGGAUACUAUAUUUACAUUCUUUACCUAAUUUGGCCUAAGGGAGCUUCUGUGAAAAGGCAGAAAAAACACCUAAUGCCAGUCCUUUGAUGCCUAUGCUGGUCUUACAGACAAAAUAAUUAACGGUACAUAUUAAAUAUCCAGACACGAAUCUCUGUGGCCAUGUGGAUUAAAGGGUUAAAGUGGAAAACAAAACAUUUCUAACUUCCAUGAUGGUUAGUGUCCUUUUAACUAAAAAACAUUUCACUGUUAGGGAUUUCAGUUCAAGGUCAAAAUGAAGCACCUUCUGAAAAAAAAAAAAAAAAACAUCCAACGGUGUUUCUAAUACUCUCAUGCAUGAUUCCCAGUUAGGCUGUACAAGACUGAAAAAAAUAAGGACAAAGAAAAGAACAUAAUUUAUUUAAGCCAAAAAUCUAAAGCAGAAAUAAAUACACAACAGAACAACAUGUGUUAUUUUAGUUUGUGAACCCAAAAAUGAGUAAUAAACACUUACAGUGGUAAAAAACUGAAAAUAUCAACAUCUGUUCAUCUGGACCGUGGAUUCUGAAACUAUCCAAAAUAUUAUUUUCAAUUACCCAGACCAGGCUAUUAAAUAAAAGGACAUCUCUCACAGAUUUGUCAAACACAUAAAAAAAAAAAAAAAAAAAAAGAUUUUAGCCAUUGUGCACUUCAACAACAAAAUGAACAA